UACGUAGGGGGCUAGCGUUGUCCGGAAUCAUUGGGCGUAAAGCGCGUGUAGGCGGUCCGGUAAGUCCGCUGUGAAAGUCGGGGGCUCAACCCUCGAAUGCCGGUGGAUACUGUCGGGCUAGAGUGCGGAAGAGGCGAGUGGAAUUCCUGGUGUAGCGGUGAAAUGCGCAGAUAUCGGGAGGAACACCAAUGGCGAAGGCAGCUUGCUGGGACGGUACUGACGCUGAGACGCGAAAGCGUGGGGAGCAAACAGG
rnacentral:rRNA from 1 species